rnacentral:sRNA from 1 species
GUUGGGCCUGGUGGCCCAUACCUGUAGUCCCAAGUUGUUUUGGAGACUGAUGCAGGAGAAUCUCUUGAGCCCAGGAGUUCAAGACCAGCCGGGACAGCAUAGUGAGGUCCUGUAUCUA